rnacentral:rRNA from 1 species
UCUGUCGUGAGGGAAGAAAAAGACCGAGAAAUAUAAGUUCGGUAAUUGACGGUACCUCACAAGCAAGCUCCGGCUAACUUCGUGCCAGCAGCCGCUGUAAUACGAGGGGAGCAAGCGUUGUCCGAAAUAACUGNGCGUAAAGGGUACGUAGGCUUUUUUGUAUGUUUCCGGUGAAAUUCACGGGCUCAACUUGUGACUUGCCGGAAAAACUGCAGAGAUUGAAUCCGGAAGGGGAAAGCGGAAAUCCUGGUGUAGCGGUGAAAUGCGUAGAUAUCAGGAGGAACACCAGUGGCGAAGGCGGCUUUCUGGUCCGGAAUUGACGCUGAGGUACUAAAGCGUGGGUAGCAAACAGGAUUAGAUACCCUGGUAGUCCACGCCCUAAACGAUGGAUACUUGAUGUCGGGAUGUUCGGUCGUCUCGGUGUCGUAGCUAACGUGUUAAGUAUCCCGCCUGGGGACUACGGUCGCAAGACUGAAACUCAAAGGAAUUGACGGGGGCCCGCACCAGCGGUGGAACAUGUGGUUUAAUUCGAUGCAACGCGAAGGACCUUACCUGGGCUUGACAUAUAUAUGAAGUAUGUAAGAAAUUAUGUAUUCUGUCUGCAUUUGCAGGUAGCAUAUAUACAGGUGAUGCAUGGCUGUCGUCAGCUCGUGUCGUGAGAUGUAGGGUUAAGUCCCUUAACGAGCGCAACCCUUGCUUUUAGUUGCCAUCAGGUAAUGCUGGGGACUCUAGAAGGACUGCCGAGGUUAACUCGGAGGAAGGUGGGGAUGACGUCAAGUCAGUAUGUCCCUUAUGUCCAGGGCUACACACGUGUUACAAUGGACGGUACAGAGUGCAGCUACGCCGUGAGGCUAUGCAAAUCACUUAAAGCCGUUCCCAGUUCGGAUUGGAGUCUGCAAUUCGACUCCAUGAAGUUGGAAUCGCUAGUAAUCGCAGAACAGCAUGCUGCGGUGAUACGUUCCCGGGCAUUGUACACACCGCCCGUCACGCCAUGGAAGUUGGGAGUACCCAAAGUUGCUGUCU